rnacentral:rRNA from 1 species
GAUGAACGCUGGCGGCGUGCCUAAUACAUGCAAGUCGAGCGAACAGACGAGGAGCUUGCUCCUCUGACGUUAGCGGCGGACGGGUGAGUAACACGUGGAUAACCUACCUAUAAGACUGGGAUAACUUCGGGAAACCGGAGCUAAUACCGGAAAAUAUAUUGAACCGCAUGGUUCAAUAGUGAAGGACGGUUUUGCUGUAACUUAUAGAUGGAUCCGCGCCGCAUUAGCUAGUUGGUAAGGUAACGGCUUACCAAGGCAACGAUGCGUAGCCGACCUGAGAGGGUGAUCGGCCACGCUGGAACUGAGACACGGUCCAGACUCCUACGGGAGGCAGCAGUAGGGAAUCUUCCGCAAUGGGCGAAGGCCUGACGGAGCAACGCCGCGUGAGUGAUGAAGGUCUUCGGAUCGUAAAACUCUGUUAUUAGGGAAGAACAAAUGUGUAAGUAACUAUGCACGUCUUGACGGUACCUAAUCAGAAAGCCACGGCUAACUACGUG